CUAAAAAUGGCUGGGUUAUUUUUUAACCCAAAAUGCUGGGUUGAGUCUGUUGGGUUGUUUUGCUGGGUUAUUUUUUUACAUUUUAAACACUUUUUGGGUAGUUUCAGUUUUCUAGGUGUUGGGUUAAAACUGCUGGGUUAUUAUGUUGGGUUGUUUGAAGAGGCUCACGUGCUUCGCGCCCUUGAUGUUUGAAUGUGCUCAGCAAUGGUCGUCGUGAAAGGACAGAGUCACUGAAGCAGUUGUUUCAAGAGUGUGCAGAGUUUUUAUGUCCAUCCAUUGAUGAGGCUAGCAAGACCUUCAUACAACUUCAUCCAAUUGCAACAAAUGUGGUGGAAUUUCUUCUCUGGACAGAAUCCUCGAAACCCUUUCCUUUCGUCCUGGCCAUGGGAAACAUGCAGCAGACCUCUCAAUCUUUUUCCUCAAUCAGUCUCUCUGAAUACGGAAGUGACUUAAACUGCAAUUCGGCCAAGAUGGCGACGGCACGCACCGCCUACUUUAAGCUUCAAAAAUGCUCUUCACAAACCAAUAGGUGACGUCACGGACACUACUUGCAUAUUUUUACAGUCUCUGGUUUAAAGGCAUUUUAAGUGCUUAAAAAAAUAAAUACCCCAGGCAAUGUGCUUCUAUGGGAAUUCCUGUAGUCUGUCAUUUUUCAAAUGCAUGAAUCCUCUCCUGUUCGAUUCCUUUGUACAUCUUUGUUCGCGACGAGUAACUUUAAUAAAUGAAGUAUUUUUAGUCAAAUACAUUCCAUUCUGUGAAACUUAAAACAUUUGUUCUUUAAAAAAACUUUACACAUCUAUGAAUGAUUUUACUUUUAAUUUAACAAUUACAUUGUUUCUUUUUUACACUGCUGUAGUUUUGUUUAUGUACAUUUCAGUAUUUCAUAUAUAUACUGUAAAAUUACAAAUUCUGUCUUAAAUUCAAACGAAUUGAUUCAACCUGUUACAUUGUUACUUCAAUGUGCAUAAUUUAUGAUAUUUUAUAAAUAUAUUUAUACUUAGGUCAGUAAGCAGUCCUUUAAAUGAUUUUGCAACUUACAACUGUAAAAAUGUAAGAGUUUGUAGUUAUU